AUAAGGUCAGGCAAUUAUUAAAUUCACUUUGACACUACGAACUUCCAGAUCUGUACAGCUAGCUUUGGAUGGGAUGUGCAUGUCACUAGACUUGGGGAUAAGGGAAUUAAAGUCUAAUCAGGCUGCACAGCAAUCCGAUGAUUAAUUCAGCGUAAUAACUAGCAGGUGCAGAGCCUGUCAUGUGCUGGGAGUCCUUCUACACCAUGUCCAGCCACCACUAAACUACAUCCAAUGACACCGCCAGGAUCUUAGCCUGUGUGAGAGGGAAUCCUCAACUGAAUCAAGACCACUGAGCACUAUGACAGACCAUGGGUAGGAGCCAGGUGCUGGAACACUCUCCCCUCACAGGCACACAUCUGUUUCAGACGGGGCUGGGGAAAAAGAACACAUUACAGGAACACCUCUGACACUGACAGGAAGAAGGGGCAGCUGUUGUGAGAGAUAAAAAUCUUUCAUC